rnacentral:lncRNA from 1 species
CACCGCUCGGUGCCGGGGAUUUUCUCCCGGGCUGAGCCACCCGCUCUUGUUUUGAUCCAGCGGCCGGCCAGAUAUGUGGAAGCAGCAUCACUUCCAUUUCCUGCUGCUCCCAGGCCAGGCUCCCAGGGGCGUGCAGCGCUGCGCUGCUCCGCGGGGGCACCGCUCGCUGUCAGCCGGGCGGCAUUUAAACAGCCGGGCACGGCGAGAUGAGACGGGGCUGACGCUUUUUUCCUGCCUUUUGCUUUUUUUUUCCCCCCUUAAUUUCUUUAUUUAUAUAUUUUUCAUUUUCAUUUUUUCAUUUUUCUCAUUUUUCUUUUUUCCACUUUAUUUUUUUUCCUCUUUUCCCCUUUCCCUUUUCAUUCCCCCCUUCCUCCUUUUUCCCAUUUCCGUUUUUCCUUUUCCAUCUUUUCCCUCCAUCCUUUUAUUUUUUCAUUUUUUUCUUUUUCCUUUAUUUUAUUAUUAUUUUUUUUUUUGCAUUUUCUCCCAAUUUUCCCCCCACCCCCCCCCCCUCCCCUGCACAAGGCCAUCCAUCCCCCGUCCCCCACCACCGUGGGGAAGGAGGGGGAUGCCCGCAGCCCGGCCCCAUUCCGCAACGCCCCCUCCCUUUCUCCUUCCUCCUCCUCCUGCCGCAGCCGCCGCCCGUCCUCUCUCUCUCUCCCCCCUUUUCCCCCCCAUCCCCUACCUGUAGGAGCGCUCCCCCCGCACCGUGUGCUUCCUGAAGGGGAUGAUGGUGCCGUUGUCCUGGAUGAUGUCGUUGUUGUUCUCGCCAUUUGGGGACAGGGCUUGGGUCGGUCCGGGCAUUGGCGCUCGCUCCCCCGCGGCUCCGCGCCUCCUCCCCGCCCCAGCGCUGCGGCUCUGCCUGCGGAAGGUGCUGGCGGCCCCCGCCUGCCGCCCGCCCGCCCGCCCGGACCCCGCCCCGCCGCCCCGCGUCACCGCGCCACGUGACCGCCCGCCGCCAUGGCAACC